GAAUCCACACACGUUUUCUGUCAUCUCUUUUCCAUUCUCAGAGGGGUUUCCUGCACCUGCUUUCUUCCUUUGUGGUGCUAAUCAGCUAACGCAAGAGCUUGAGGUGAAGCCAGCUCUUUAUGGAAUCCACACAGCAUUUCAUUAAAGUCUAUGUGGAGCCAGCCUCAGGGACAUGGCCACAUAAUUAAUUUGGAAGUACACUGUCUUCUGCAUCCCCUGUAUCCAUUCCCAGCGCUUGGCCUGUCCCAGUCAUCCACACCGAGUCCAAAGUCCGGCAGGAUGUUGUUCCUCUGCCGGCUGCUGUU